rnacentral:rRNA from 1 species
CCUACUCGGAUAACUGUGGAAAUUCUAGAGCUAAUACGCGCAAGAAAGCUCGGACCUUUCGGGACGAGCGCAUUUAUUAGACCAAAACCAAUCGGGCUUCGGCCUGAGCGGUGGUGACUCUGAAUAACUAAGCUGAUCGCACGGUCUUAGUACCGGCGACGCAUCUUUCAAGUGUCUGCCUUAUCAACUUUCGAUGGUAGUUUAUGUGCCUACCAUGGUUGUAACGGGUAACGGAGAAUAAGGGUUCGACUCCGGAGAGGGAGCCUGAGAAACGGCUACCACAUCCAAGGAAGGCAGCAGGCGCGCAAAUUACCCAAUAGAGGAACGAGGAGGUAGUGCCGAAAAAUAACGCUCUAGAAGGGCUGAGGCCCGCCAUCGGAAUGGG